rnacentral:rRNA from 1 species
ACGCUCGACACCUACGGGAUGCAGCAGUCGGGAAUAUUGCGCAAUGGAGGAAACUCUGACGCAGUGACGCCGCGUAUAGGAAGAAGGUUUUCGGAUUGUAAACUAUUGUCGUUAGGGAAGAGAAAGGACAGUACCUAAGGAGGAAGCUCCGGCUAACUACGUACCAGCAGCCGCGGUAAUCUGAGCGGGCUGGCAAGGC